AGGGCAUCUUUGGUGUUUUCCCCUCCUCGAAGAAGUAGUUACUUAGCACCCAGAACCUCUUUCCAAGUAGUCCUAUGGAGAAUGAAAUCUUGUGACAUAGCCAGACAGCAGAGAUUACUGUUCGUUCUGUCCAGGAUCCUGAGUGAUACUGAAAGUUCACUAGUGAGCCAUCUAAGCAUAGUUUCACUUAUGGGAGAAACUUAAUAAUCCUUCAAUUAUGGAUUCAGUUACUUUAACAGGUGGUCACAAAGCACCGAGCGGAUCUCCUUGUGCUAUGCAGCUGCUUCCCACUAGCUAGCUAUUUUACGUUUGGUACUAGGUGUGAUGGUCAUUUACCCUUGUGAUCCAGUGACUGGCUGGGAGCUGUCCAGCAUCAAAAGAGAGCAUCAUACUAGCCCAGGAAAAGAUCAAAAUUCAAAAUUUGAAGUGUGGUUUCUACUUAAUGCCUAUCACUUUCAUACCAUCAUAAAGUCAGAAAACCGUAAGUCAGGGACCUUCUAUACUGCUUUUGCUGUAUCCCACAUGUUUGGAUAUGUCAUAUAUUCAUUAUUAUUCAACUACAAUGUUUGGUAAUUUCCAUUUGAAGUGGGGAUUUUAUGUCCCAUGAUGAUAUUUCCAGGGACGUAAGAAUGGCCAAAUCCUGCCCUGCUCACCACUGGGAAGAUUCCUGAGGAUGCUUAUAUGUAUUAGCUUCAUACAAAUGGAAAGUGAAGAAGGACUUUCAGCCGAACCAGGACCUGAUUACCUCUAAAGCAGGAAAGGUGGGUUGAGGUUCAGGCCUAAGUGGAGUUUCCUACUUCCUUCUGAAUCCAGAAAAGCAAGCUCAGAAUUCCUAUAAGGAUGAGUAGGAGAGAUAGGCCACGCCUCAAACUAGCCAAGGGUUGACUUGACUUUCAAGUAUCUGAGCUGAAAUAGAAAGAGAAAGAGGUAGCCAAUCACAGGGUACUAAAUUAGCUCUCCUUAGAUUUGCUUAUUAUCACAGGUAGGCAAAGACUUAAAAUGCAAGCGAUAUAAGCAGAGUGAGUGGAGUCUUGAGUCCUACAUUUUAAGUUAGACUAAGGACUAAUUUCCUACUCAUAAAUGGACUGCGAACAAAAGAAUCAGCCCUCCUCACCCCUCCAGUGUGGGGAGGGGAAGAGGCAAGGUCUACAAAGAAGGAAAGCAGAAGUGGAAAUUUCCUGAUUUAGGCAAAGAGAGGUAUUCUUUUAUCCACACCAUCUGGUUUUGUUUAAUUUUAAUCUUUUGGGUUUACAGCUUUAAAGUCUGCCCAAUGUGUUCAGGGAAAGAGAUCAGAGAAUUAUCAUGGGAUCCUUGUUUCCACCUGCCCUUAUUUUGUCAUUCGCAUCAUUACCACCAUCAUCUUUAUUAUCAUUUAUGGAACACUUACCAUAUGCCAAGUCCAUUGCUAAGCACUUUACAACUCAUUUUAUAAUCUAAAAACCGCAAAGUAAUAUUAACCCAUCCUCAGUUGAGGAAAACUAAGGCUUAAGAAUGUUUAAAGAUGAAGGGAUUUCUGAGAUAAAGUAAAUGCUGCAGGC